UUAACCAGACAAAAAUCACUUGAAAAGCGUCGGCACGUACAAUAUCACAAGCAUUUGAUAAUGAAUAUGUACAAUACCAAGUCUUCAUCAGAUUUUUCCUGGCCAUCAAUCACUGAUUUUUUUUUUUAUGGCCAUAAUUUUACCUACUCUCUUUCUUUACCUUAUAUGUUGCUCCGAGCAAAUUCACCUGGUUUGACUUCGCCUCCCCAGACACUUGACCAAA